UUAAGCGACUAAGCGUACACGGUGGAUGCCCUGGCAGUCAGAGGCGAUGAAGGACGUGCUAAUCUGCGAAAAGCGCCGGCGAGGUGAUAUGAACCUUUGACCCGGCGAUGUCCGAAUGGGGAAACCCAGUGUGAUUCGUCACACUAUCGUUAACUGAAUACAUAGGUUAACGAGGCGAACCGGGGGAACUGAAACAUCUAAGUACCCCGAGGAAAAGAAAUCAACCGAGAUUCCCCCAGUAGCGGCGAGCGAACGGGGAGCAGCCCAGAGUCUGAAUCAGCUUGUGUGUUAGUGGAAGCGUCUGGAAAGUCGCACGGUACAGGGUGACAGUCCCGUACACGAAAGCACACAGGCUGUGAACUCGAAGAGUAGGGCGGGACACGUGGUAUCCUGUCUGAAUAUGGGGGGACCAUCCUCCAAGGCUAAAUACUCCUGACUGACCGAUAGUGAACCAGUACCGUGAGGGAAAGGCGAAAAGAACCCCGGCGAGGGGAGUGAAAAAGAACCUGAAACCGUGUACGUACAAGCAGUGGGAGCACCUUCGUGGUGUGACUGCGUACCUUUUGUAUAAUGGGUCAGCGACUUAUAUUCUGUAGCAAGGUUAACCGUAUAGGGGAGCCGAAGGGAAACCGAGUCUUAACUGGGCGUUAAGUUGCAGGGUAUAGACCCGAAACCCGGUGAUCUAGCCAUGGGCAGGUUGAAGGUUGGGUAACACUAACUGGAGGACCGAACCGACUAAUGUUGAAAAAUUAGCGGAUGACUUGUGGCUGGGGGUGAAAGGCCAAUCAAACCGGGAGAUAGCUGGUUCUCCCCGAAAGCUAUUUAGGUAGCGCCUCGUGAACUCAUCUUCGGGGGUAGAGCACUGUUUCGGCUAGGGGGCCAUCCCGGCUUACCAACCCGAUGCAAACUACGAAUACCGAAGAAUGUUAUCACGGGAGACACACGGCGGGUGCUAACGUCCGUCGUGAAGAGGGAAACAACCCAGACCGCCAGCUAAGGUCCCAAAGUCAUGGUUAAGUGGGAAACGAUGUGGGAAGGCACAGACAGCCAGGAUGUUGGCUUAGAAGCAGCCAUCAUUUAAAGAAAGCGUAAUAGCUCACUGGUCGAGUCGGCCUGCGCGGAAGAUGUAACGGGGCUAAACCAUGCACCGAAGCUGCGGCAGCGACGCUUAUGCGUUGUUGGGUAGGGGAGCGUUCUGUAAGCCGUUGAAGGUGGCCUGUGAGGGUUGCUGGAGGUAUCAGAAGUGCGAAUGCUGACAUAAGUAACGAUAAAGCGGGUGAAAAGCCCGCUCGCCGGAAGACCAAGGGUUCCUGUCCAACGUUAAUCGGGGCAGGGUGAGUCGACCCCUAAGGCGAGGCCGAAAGGCGUAGUCGAUGGGAAACAGGUUAAUAUUCCUGUACUUGGUGUUACUGCGAAGGGGGGACGGAGAAGGCUAUGUUAGCCGGGCGACGGUUGUCCCGGUUUAAGCAUGUAGGCGGAGGUUCCAGGUAAAUCCGGUACCUUUUAACGCUGAGGUGUGAUGACGAGGCACUACGGUGCUGAAGUAACAAAUGCCCUGCUUCCAGGAAAAGCCUCUAAGCAUCAGGUAACACGAAAUCGUACCCCAAACCGACACAGGUGGUCAGGUAGAGAAUACCAAGGCGCUUGAGAGAACUCGGGUGAAGGAACUAGGCAAAAUGGUGCCGUAACUUCGGGAGAAGGCACGCUGAUAUGUAGGUGAAGCCCCUGCGGGUGGAGCUGAAAUCAGUCGAAGAUACCAGCUGGCUGCAACUGUUUAUUAAAAACACAGCACUGUGCAAACACGAAAGUGGACGUAUACGGUGUGACGCCUGCCCGGUGCCGGAAGGUUAAUUGAUGGGGUUAGCGGUAACGCGAAGCUCUUGAUCGAAGCCCCGGUAAACGGCGGCCGUAACUAUAACGGUCCUAAGGUAGCGAAAUUCCUUGUCGGGUAAGUUCCGACCUGCACGAAUGGCGUAAUGAUGGCCAGGCUGUCUCCACCCGAGACUCAGUGAAAUUGAACUCGCUGUGAAGAUGCAGUGUACCCGCGGCAAGACGGAAAGACCCCGUGAACCUUUACUAUAGCUUGACACUGAACACUGGUCCUUGAUGUGUAGGAUAGGUGGGAGGCUUUGAAGCGUGGACGCCAGUCUGCGUGGAGCCGUCCUUGAAAUACCACCCUUUAAUGGCUGGUGUUCUAACGUAGACCCGUAAUCCGGGUUGCGGACAGUGUCUGGUGGGUAGUUUGACUGGGGCGGUCUCCUCCCAAAGAGUAACGGAGGAGCACGAAGGUUAGCUAAUCCUGGUCGGACAUCAGGAGGUUAGUGCAAUGGCAUAAGCUAGCUUGACUGCGAGAGUGACGGCUCGAGCAGGUGCGAAAGCAGGUCAUAGUGAUCCGGUGGUUCUGAAUGGAAGGGCCAUCGCUCAACGGAUAAAAGGUACUCCGGGGAUAACAGGCUGAUACCGCCCAAGAGUUCAUAUCGACGGCGGUGUUUGGCACCUCGAUGUCGGCUCAUCACAUCCUGGGGCUGAAGUAGGUCCCAAGGGUAUGGCUGUUCGCCAUUUAAAGUGGUACGCGAGCUGGGUUUAGAACGUCGUGAGACAGUUCGGUCCCUAUCUGCCGUGGGCGCUGGAGAAUUGAGGGGGGCUGCUCCUAGUACGAGAGGACCGGAGUGGACGCAUCACUGGUGUUCGGGUUGUCAUGCCAAUGGCACUGCCCGGUAGCUAAAUGCGGAAAAGAUAAGUGCUGAAAGCAUCUAAGCACGAAACUUGCCCCGAGAUGAGUUCUCCCUGACCCUUUAAGGGUCCUGAAGGAACGUUGAAGACGACGACGUUGAUAGGUCGGGUGUGUAAGCGCAGCGAUGCGUUGAGCUAACCGAUACUAAUGAACCGUGAGGCUUAACCU
rnacentral:rRNA from 1 species